UCCAGUUCUCUGCAUUCGUCCUCUGGGUUCAGGAGAUGAUCGUCGCUUGAUGAAGACUUUGCAAUGAUGAUGUCAUUCCAAAUAACUCCGCCCAUUCUCAUUGUUCUUCUCAUAGUUAAUGGAGUUGGAGCUCAGUAUGGGUGGGAAGUGACUUAC